GACGAACGCUGGCGGCGUGCUUAACACAUGCAAGUCGAACGGAAAGGCCCUGCUUUUGUGGGGUGCUCGAGUGGCGAACGGGUGAGUAACACGUGAGUAACCUGCCCUUGACUUUGGGAUAACUUCAGGAAACUGGGGCUAAUACCGGAUAGGAGCUCCUGCUGCAUGGUGGGGGUUGGAAAGUUUCGGCGGUUGGGGAUGGACUCGCGGCUUAUCAGCUUGUUGGUGGGGUAGUGGCUUACCAAGGCUUUGACGGGUAGCCGGCCUGAGAGGGUGACCGGCGACACUGGGACUGAGAGACGGCCGAGACUGGGACGGGUGGGAGCAGGGGGGAAUAUUGCACAAGGGGCGGAGGGCGGAUGCAGAAAGGCCGCGGGCGGGAUGACGGUCUUAGGGGGGAAAAACGUUUUCGCCUGUGACGAAGCGUGAGUGACGGGAAGGGGUAAAGAAGGACCGGCUAACUACGUGC
rnacentral:rRNA from 1 species